rnacentral:ribozyme from 1 species
AAUGGAAAAAAAAAAUGAAAAAAAAAAUAUAUAUGUAUAUGUCUUCUUCUUAAUUUCUUGUUUUUGUCUUCUUCUUAGUUUCUUGUUAUCUAUAAAGAGAAAGAAGAAGAACCAUCAGGCCCUCAUAGCUACACUUUAAUCAUUUUAUUAUUUUGAUGAUGAGGAUGAUAUUACUACUACUAGUUGUGACAUCUCCAAAUAAUUAAAAAU